AUUUCAGGCUCUUCUGUGUCGAGCGGAGGAGUAGCUCUGUGUCAAGCUUAGGGGACUGGAAGAGGCCGCAACCUUCCGCCUGCUGGAGGGUGGAGGAUGGAUGGAGCCUGGAGCCUAGGUCACUACCUUGCUGUGGUUGGUGGUGGCGAUAGAGCAGUAGGAGAGCGGUCAGCAGCAGGAGGACUAGAAGGAAGAGGUACUGCCACAUGCUGGAGGCUGGAACCUGUGCCACCAUGGCUCGCCUCGCUGUGGUUGGUGGUAACGUCGGAGACUGCAGCUCAGCCACGGUGGUAGACAUGUGAUGGGGUAGCUUCCAAGUAAGGGAUCGUUUUCCUCUUCUCAGACUCCAGACUCUAGAAGGCGAUUUUCUCUGCUCGAGCUGGAUUGCACGCUGCUCCAAGCCAGGCUGAAGGAGGAGAAGGAGUUGCCGCCUGUGGUACGGUCGAGCAGAUGACGUGGCUCUGCAGCUUGCCUCAUGCAGUUGGUGUUGGAGAUGGAGACCACAGCUCGACUGGAGCGGUGGUUUCCUAGAAACAUGAUUGUUUAUUGGCGUUGAUCUCAGUCUGGUGAGGACUUCUUUACUGAUAAUGUCAAGUUCAGGUUACCCUCCCAACCAAGGAGCAUUCAGCACAGAACAAAGUCGUUAUCCUCCUCACUCUGUAAAGUAUACGUUUCCCAGCACCCGCCACCAGCAGGAUCCAACAUUUGGAGGCAAACAUGAAGCUCCAUCCUCUCCAAUUUCGAGGCAACCGUGUGGAGAUGAUCAAAAUGCUUCACCUUCAAAACUUUCAAAGGAAGAGUUAAUACAGAGUAUGGAUCGUAUAAAUCGAGAAAUUGCAAAAGUAGAACAGCAGAUCCUUAAACUGAAGAAGAAACAAGUAAAAGUCUUUGCUUAUAAUAUUCUAAGAAUGUGUGUUUUUCUCCCUACAGAAGAUAUUUUUGAGUUUUCCAUAUUAUGAAACUGUACAUAAAAGGAAUCAUGCCUUAUAUAUUCUGGCUUGCUGUUUUUUGCUGCUAUUGUGGUUUUCUUUCAUUCAUUCAUUUUCCUUGCUGCACUGUCUGAUCAUAUGAUUGUAGAGAGUGAAAUUUGUCCAUUCUAUUUUUGAUUUUUUUUUCUAUUCCAUACACUGGUGCUGGUUUUUGGUUCACAUGUAGAGAUUUUCUAGGGCAUGUGCCCAGGAAUGGCAGUGCUUGGCCCAAGAUUAUGCACAGUGAACUAUUUAAUAGAUGACACCAAAUUUGCUAAGAAGUAACACCAUUUUACAUUCCCACUGGCAACUUACGUGGGUACUGGUUUGUGCACAUUCUUGCCUUUACUUGAUAUCAUUUUUUCAUUUGGAUAUGAAAUAGUCUUCUCUGUGGUUUGGAAGGAGGCUGAGCUUAUUUUCAUUUGUUUAUGGGUUAUUUGGGUUCCUUAUGUGCAUUGUUCAUGUCUUUUGUCUAUAGUCUCCUAUUUUGUCAUUGAAAUUUUUAGGAUUCCCUGAAGUCCCUUGUCAGGUAUGUGUAUAGAAGAUUUGCCUAGUUUGUGGCCUGUCACUUCACUUUUAGCCCAGUAUCCACUCUAAGUGUACACUAAGUGCAUUUUUUUUUCCACAUUUCGAGUCUCACUCUGUCACCCAGGCUGGAGUGCAGUGGUGCGAUCUUGGCUCACUGCAACCUCUGCCUCCCAGGUUCAAGCGAUUCUCCUGCAACAGCCUCCUGAGUAUCUGGGACUAUAGGUGCUAUAAGUGCUUUUAAUGUAUUCAUAAAGUUGUACAGCUAUCACCACUCUCUAACUCUAGAAGAUUUUUAUCGUUUCAAAAAGAAACUCCAUACUUACUAGCAGUUACUCCCCAUUUCCCCCUUUCCCCAGCCCCUGGCAACCACUAGACUAUUCUCUGUCUCUAUGGACUAGCAUGUGCCAAAUAUCAGAAAAAACAGAAUCAUAUGUGACCUUUGGUGUUUGGCUUCAUUUGUUUAGCAUGUUGUCCUGAUUCAUCCAUGUCGUAUCUUGUCUCAGCACCUCAUUACUUUAUAUGCCUGAAUCCCAUUGCGUGAGUAUACUAUGUUUUGUUUAUCCAUUCAUUAGUUCAUGGAUAUUGGAGUUGUGUUCAUUUUUUGACUAUGAUUAAUAAUGUACUGUGAUGAGAUUCAUGUACUCGUUUUUGUGAGGACGUAUUUUUACAAUUUUCUUUAUAUGUCUAGGAGUGGGCAUAUGGUAAAUCUAUGUUUAAAUUUUUUGAAAAACUUCAAAACUGUUUUCCAAAGUCUCUGUACCAUUUUAUAUUCUUACCAGCAGUGUAUGGAGGUUCCAUUUUUUCCUACCUCCUUGCCAACAUCUGUUAUUUUCCUUUUUUUUAAAAAAAAUAGCUAUUCUUGUAGAUGUGAAGUGGUAUCUAGUUGUAGUUUUCAUUUGCAUAUCCUUAAUGACUAAUGAUGUUGAGCAUCUUUUCAUGUGCUGAUUGGCCAUUUGUAUAUCUUUUUAGAGAAAUGUUCAUUUAGAUUGUUUGCUCAUUUAAUUGGGUUGUCUUUUUGUUACUCUAAGAAUUCUUUAUAUAUUCUGGACAUUAGUUCUUCAUCAGAUGUAUGACUUAAUAGGUAUUUUCUCUCAUUCUGUGGGUUCUUUUCACUUUCCUGAUAGUAUCCUUUGAUGUACAAAGUUUUGAAUUUUGUUGAAGUCCAGUUUGUUUUUUCCUUUUGUCACUCUUGCAUUUGGUGUUGUAUCUAAGACCCAUUGCCUAAUUCACGGUCACAGAUUUAUACCUAUGUUUUCUUCUACAAAUUUUAUAGUUUUACCCCUUAUAUUUGGGUCUUUGAUCCUGAUAGUGUUUUUCUGGUGAACAGAAUUUGUUUAGGUUUUAUAUGAAAACCCACUGGGGUUAUUAAGGUAGUUUUACUGUAUUAUUUGUAGAAGUUUUAUAGUUUUGCUUCUCAUCUUAUUCUUAAUCCACUGGAAACUACAUAUUGUAUAGUCAGUGUUCAUUUAUAUUUACUCAGAUAUUUGUCUUCUUAAGUGCUCACCAUUUCUUCUCACAACUUAAGUCUUUCAUCUAGGGGAACACUCUUCUACUGAAGAACAUCUCUUAGAAUUUCCUUUAGUGAAGGUCUCUUAGUUAGCAAAGUCAGUAUUUGUUUGGUUUUUAUGACUUAAAUAUUGUCUUAUAUUUGGGCUGUUUAUUAAAAGAUAUAUUAAUUUCAUAUGUGAUUAUUUUUUCUUAGUACAUUGUCUUCUUGCUUCCAUUUUUAAGACAUUAGCUCUUGGUCUAAGUCCAUAUUCUUUCAUGGAUAAAGUGAAUUUUCUCUCUGCUUAUUUUCAAUAUAUUCUUUUCUUCAGGGUUCCGUUAUUUUUAUGAUGAUACAUUUAGGUGGUUUUUUUUUUCCCUUUUAAAUCUGUCCAACUUGAGCUUCCUGAAUAUGAAGGGUGGAGUUUUUCAUCACUUUGGGGAAAUUCCAAGCCAUUAUCUUUUUUACAAAACCUUUCUAACAGUUUAUUGUUCUACUUAUGAAAUCCUGUUAGUUGUAAUAUCACUCUUGUCUUCCAUGUCUCUUGUUUGUUUCUUAUUUUUUACUUCUUUGGGCUUCCUUCUGAGCAAUUUCUUCAGCCUGUCUUCCAGUUUGCAUUUUCCUUUUCAAUUAUAUGUAAUCUGCUGUCAAAUCUGUCUUCAAUUUCAACAAUUAUGUUUUUAUUUCUGGAAUUUCUGUUUGGCUCCUUCUCAAAUCUGCCUGGUCAUUUUUUAAAAUGUUUUUUUGCUUUCAUUGAGUUGUAUUAAAUUUUUAUUAUAUACCCAA